GAGAUGCCCUUUAAUGGGUUUAUUCUAUACACACUGUGAACCGUGGCUCCGGCCUAAACUUUGUGGAUGAAUGUAUUACAAAAACAAAAAAA
rnacentral:misc_RNA from 1 species